rnacentral:rRNA from 1 species
CAGUAGCCGCGGUAAUACGUAGGGUGCAAGCGUUAAUCGGAAUUACUGGGCGUAAAGCGUGCGCAGGCGGUCCGCUAAGACAGCUGUGAAAUCCCCGGGCUCAACCUGGGACCUGCAUUCGUGACUGUAUAGCUAGAGUACGGUAGAGGGGGAUGGAAUUCCGCGUGUAGCAGUGAAAUGCGUAGAUAUGCGGAGGAACACCGAUGGCGAAGGCAAUCCCCUGGACCUGUACUGACGCUCAUGCACGAAAGCGUGGGGAGCAAACAGGAUUAGAUACCCCCGUAGUCCCUGUCUCUUAUAC